rnacentral:lncRNA from 1 species
GUGCAUUUAACUCCAUGAGAACCAGAAGCAGCUCUGGGAACACAGAAGGAACACAGAUCCAUCUGGAUCUCACAAAAAGUCCUGGAAGCAGAAGAAAUCUCAGUUUAACGUUGGGAGAAAGUACAAGAAGUUCUCUCAAUCUCUGCAGAUGUAAGUGCUGGAACUCCAUGGAUAUGAUGGGGUGCCAGUAAUUCCCCAAAUUCUUAUGACUCUGGGUGCCUCCUAUUCACCAUUUAGCAAUCUGUACCAUUCUUUGUUUUUUCUCUCUCAAUGUCAGUCUCUGUCUCUGUGUCUAGCUGAAGCUUGACUGUUCUAGAAAUAUAUAAAUCACAAUACCAAUCAAAAUACAAAGGGUCAAAUGGUACAAAUUGUAGGUACUAUAGAUGGUCAGAAAAUGGAAUAGAGGGGAGACUUGGUACAGUAAAUUCAAGCCAACAAGCAUUUCUUUGUUCAGCCCUGGGGAUACAAAGAUAAGAAAAACAUGCUCCUGGCCCUCAGGGAGCUUACAUUCUAAUGAGGAAGGCAGCUUCUAAAUUAUGUAAAUAUAAGACAGAGACUUUGGGUAGUGGUGACUGGGGGAAGUGUAGACUAAAAAAGAAUUCCUGGAGCAAGUGGGAUUUAAACUGAGUCUUGAAGGAAGUCAGGAAAUAAAAAGGUAGAGCCAAAGCAACAGGGUACCCCAAUGAUGGAAGAUGGAGAGCACAAAGGGAGAUAGAGUGUUAUGUCUGAGGAAUUGCA